CCUGUAAGAUAAAUUAUAUUUAAUGAAGGCAAUCCACUCUAUCUCUGGAUCGAAGUCUUUGAAGUCAUCCAUGCCAAGGAUAAAAUGGAUUUGUAUAUACAAGCAUACAUCAGUAAUUCUGUCCUAUUUGGUUUUUUUCUGUGUUCAGCUCUACGAAUAAAGCAAAGCUGGAGUGCACAGGAAGGGCCAUGUAGUUGUAGCUGUGGGCCAUACUGCUGAGCGUUUCUGUCCCCAUUUGAAAAAAACAGAGAGCCAGCUUAUACAGGUUAAAGGAAGAAACAGUAGUUACACUGAGGGCUAAAACCAUCAGAACAACAACUCUGGUUUCCUGAUAAUGUUUACGGAACGCAUCAGCGUGUAUCCAGCAGAAUUUACAUACAGGCUUUCAGUAUCAACUCCGUGGAAGCUGAGAAAGAUGAGACUCUAUCUUGAAAGAAACUAAAAGAUAACCCAUUUAUAUGUAGAUGUUAAGUGAAUGGAAGAAGAACUGACCAGGAGGGGAGAAAGAUAAAGCCAAGUGCCUUCAGCAGGAGGAGAAAACAAAAUCAGAUUCACCUCAUGCUUGGAAGAGGAAUACAGUAGUGGAUGAAAAGAGGGUGGUGCUGGUGGUUCUCUGAAGCUGUUAAAAGAAAAUGCAAACAUCGAGGUUCCCUCCCCCAACUUUAACAGAAAAUGGGAGAUUUUGGUAAAACUGAACUAGUGAGCCUCAGACCUGGGGGUUGCCAGGGGUAAGGGUGGGAUGCAGAAAGCACAGAUGAGGACAGGAUAAAAUGUCAUGCUGAAAACAGAAGGAUUCAGCCCAAGUCUGUAUAGUGAUGGGACCUUCAGCACCACUCCCACAUCAAGCUCCUGAACACAGGCAGCCAAGGAGGUAUAAAUACCUCCUCCCCGGCAAGAGGAGAAUGGAAGACCCUUCUGUGGAGAAACAAACCACCCCAGAGAAAAGACCAACAGGUAUUAACAUUUGGGAUUUUCUGUCAAAAAGCUAUCUACCCAGGCGCCCUACAGUGAAACCCAGAACAACCCCAACCGGCUUUCUGGUGUAUCAUUUUUUAGCAUUAACACUGAAGGUACCACAGACAUUUGAAGAAAGCCUCCAGGUGGGUAAGAGAAGACAGUGCUUCUUUUAACUAAUAGCAUGCUAUAAAAAAGUAAUCAGAAAAUAAAAGUAUUUAGAAAUUAAAAAUAUGACAUUCAUGUAAGUUAUUAGUCAAAGAAAUCUCCCAGAAAGUAAAACAAAAAGAGCAAGGGGACGAUAAAAGGAAGAGAGAAGAAAAUCAGAAAAUCAACCCAUGAGGGCUAAUGAUGUCUGAUAAUAUUAAUUCCAAGAGGAAUGAAAGGAUAAAAUGGUGGAGAAGCAAUACAAAAAAAGAAAAUUUACCAAAAUAAAGGACAUGGUUAUUGACUGCUUACAGACCCACUGAGUACUCAGUAUAGUGAAUGAAAAAAAGACACACAACAAUGUCUAUCACUGUAACACUUCAGAACUCCACGGGGGAGAGCUCUAGUGUGGGCAAGAAAAAAGAAUACAAAGAAUCAGAACUGAAAAAGGCAUCAGCCUUCUCAGCAGAGGCACUGAAAUGUUUCAACAAGGAAGAAUUUAAGAUUUUCUUAGACCUAUAAAGUCUCAAAAUAUUUAUCUUUCAUGCACUCUUUCUCAGAGAGGUACUAGAAAUGUGCUCUACCAAAAUGAGGCAAAAGGAGGACAAGACUGGAUUCCAGAAACAGAUGGAAUAAAGAAUGACAGGCUGCUAGCUAGUGAGCAGGUCUAAUGAAGAGCAAAGCCAGGAUGGAGCAGGAAGGACAAACUGACAAACUGGUACAUGCAGAAAAGUCCCCUGAGAAGUUUAUACAGCUGUUGUUGGGCAGAACAAAGACUUGGGUAUGUGGUCAAAGAAAAUCAGGCAAAUAAAAAAAUGGAGACAAUUAUUAAUUUCGAGUGAAAAAAAUGUAUGAGACUAAGCAAUAAACAGUAUUUGCUUAGUUCAACAGUCGGUAAUAUUUAUGUAGUUUGUUUAGAUCUACGGUUAAAUGUAGAUUUAAGCAAAAGAUACAAUUAAAUGAGGAUAGGAUUAAUAUAAUUAAAUGAGGAGUAAUUAAGUGACCUAAAAGUCUUCACCUACUAUAAUAGGAAGUCAACAGAGAAUGUCAUACUAUUCAGAAAUACAGAGUUAUGUAACCAAAGAAAUCAUACAAAGUGCUACCUAUGGGACAAGAUGAGGUGGAGGUAGGAAAGGGAAUGAUUUUUGUUAUAUACUGUUUCCAUGUAUGACUAGGAAAUACAUAAAGAUACAUGAAAAAUCCAGAUCUUCUAGGUAGGUUGACCCCCCACCCCCCCAAAAAAAAGAUUAAAGUGCUUUAUAUAUAAGCAUUGCUAAAUAUAAAAAUAAACUAGUGUUUGAUUGAGAUUUCAGUAAGGAUAUUAAAAAGAUUUGUUUAUUCAUGAAAACGAGAAUGGGGAAGCUGUAAAUUCUGACAUCCUUGAAAAGGAUCUGCCUUCAGGAGUUAAAGAAGAUUGGGGAAGAUGUGCUAGUGUGGACUGGAAUACCUGAUCAUCGUGUUCAGUUUCUUCUAUAGCUUCGGUGUUAGCCUGAAGUGAAGUCUGGACGUCCACAGGUCCCUCUUCAAAUUCUUCUAUUUCUUCAUCCUCAUUCUCAUCUUCUCCACUUCCAUAAUUAGUCAAAGCCUGAGUUUCAGCUUUGGACAAGUCUAAGUUGAUUAAUACACAGUUUUUAGUAAAUUUUCAGCACUAAAUCUUAAGAGCUGCUACCAGGUACUGCAUUCCUGCAUUGCCCAAGUCCUUUACAUACAAUAUCUGAAAGCUUCCGAACAGUAGGCAGAAGAACACUGUGGUGCAGAAAGGACAGGGCAUCUGGUCAGGGCCACACCAGACCGUUCAGAGUUGCUGGACACCUAACUCUACAUUCACUACAAUCCACCCAAAUGUUUGGAUAAGUGACCUAUAAAGAGCCAAUGUAUAAACCCAGUACAGAGCCUUUACACUUACUAAUAGACACCGGACAUUCUUCACUUUCUUCAUCUUCCUCUUGAUCAGAAACAUCCGAUCUCACAUUUUUGGGACCGUCAUCAACAUACAUCUCAGAUGUCUGAGUCUGCUUAACUGUUUCAGUUUCAUCCUUGUCCUAGCCACAAAUACACGUAAUGAAUUCCUUAAAAUACAUUUUAAAAGGUAUAUAGUAAGCUCAUCACAAAAAUAGUCACGAUCUAAUAAAAAAUACAAAAAGUUAUUUUUAAGAGAAAAUAAAAUUUUGUCAGAAGAAAGGCCAUUUGAUGAUAAAGCUUUCUCUCAAACAUUAAGGUAAAAGCUAUUAAAGUUAUUUAUCUUUUGUCCCAAAAGCAUUGUUUUUAGGCACAAAUUAAUUAGCCACUUACUUUGUCUUCAUCAUCAAUUUCUCCAACAGGUGAGCCACGAUCUCCUUCAAGAAUCCUUUUGGCCUUAUGAGCAAAUUAAACAGAAUUCAGGGGUGACCUUUCAGCAUUAUACUUACUCAGUAACUUUAACAAAUGCUGCAGUUUUUGACCACAGUCCAAAGAGUUGAAUGCUUUUUUAGAAAUGCAAAUUCAACUCUUCCAUUGAAAUCUUUUAAAUUAGCCAAACAAAAAAUCAACACUGCUUACCAGACAUCUCCCUGAAUAAUGAGCAUCUCAAAUUCAUUAAUUCCAGAACAAAAACCUUGACUCCUCCCUCCCCAAACCCCAGCCUCCUUCAGUCUUCCCAAUCUCAGUAAAUGGCCCUUCAUGUACCCCAUGCACAAGUCAGACACCAGGAAGCAGCCUGGACUCUACCUGUAUUAUCCACAUCUAAACCCUAAGAAUGCCUCAUUGACUCAGAGCUCGGAGCUAAGUCACAUCAUUUCCUACCUGCACUACUGCCGACAGUCUUAAAACUCGUCUCUGCCUCUAUCUCCUCUCCUACAAUUCUUAUACAACACGGUAUCUAGACCAAUCUUUUCACUGCACAUGAGAUUAUGUCCCUCCUCUAUUUCAAAAUUUCCCAUGGGUUUCCAUCAUGCUUAGAAUAAAAUCAAAUAGAAGGUCCUUACCGCUGUUGCUAAGGCCCCAUAGUUUGGCCUUACCUACCUAGGUGACCUCAUCUCCUACACUCUCACCUCUGAUGAGGUGUUCCUGCUACCCUGGCCUUCUAUAGGUUCUCCAAACUGCUCAACCCUGUCUCAGAGUCUUUGAACUUACAGUUCUCUCUGCCUGGAAUGUUCUUCCCUUUCAUCUUCAUUAUAAACUCCUUUCUUGCCUUAGUUCAUACUUCACCCACUCAAACAGCCUCACGAGACUGCCUAUCUUAAAGUAGUCUUUCCAAUCAUUUAUUAUGGUUUUAUUCGGUUUUAUUUUCUUCAAGCUCUUGGCAAUGACUGAAAUGAUCUGAAACCUAUCUAUGUCUAGAGUGAAAAUAUUAAGAAAAGUGUGAAAUGGAUGGCUUGACUUUUAUCUACCUUAGAUUUCAGGGAGAAAGGUUACCUCUUUCUGUUUUGGGUCUUGACGUGCCUUCUCAUGACUAGAGAGUCAAGAGGAGGGAAAGGUCUGAGAGAGAAACCUUCUAGUAUGCCUCAAGUUGAGGGGAAGAAUCCCAUCCAAGUUCAUAUGUGAUCACACUAAUUUAAUAAGGUAUAAGAAGCUACUGAGAUGUGCAACCAAAGUCCCAACUUGUGAACAAGCAUGUGGGUUGGUUGGGGUGACAAAUACACCUGGUAGAUCUGAGAUCUGUCAGGGUCGAAAGAGCUACUGCAGAAAGCUGGUCAAGGACAGGAUCCCAGUCCUCCUCUCUUCUCUGGAGACGUGAGUGACAACAAUGUAAGACAGCUGAUAAUUCCUGUCACCAAGUCCUGUCUGCAUUCCCGAUCUUUUAGCCACUGCUGUCACAUCUGAGAUUCAGUAUGUGGCUGGCAUAUGUGCUGAUUUAGGUAAUCUGAUUAAUUGCUAUUACUCAGAAAAUAUGUGAGCUGAGGUCAAGUAUGGUUUUAGUUAAUAAUGAUCAAGCAAUAUAUUUUAAUGCUAAUUAUAACUACUCCUAAAUUCAAAAUGAAUGUCAUUUACCUCUUUGGCAUAGGACUGUAUCACUCCAGCUGCUUCUAUUUUCCUUUUGCACCUCUGUUUGACAGUUAUACUAUUGUUAUCCAAAUCUUGCAUGAGCUUGAAGAAAGCCAAUUCAUUAAACAACACUUCAGAUAUCUCUACGAGAAGAUCUUCUCCACAGUCUUUCAGUUUUCUGCCAGCAAAUUUUGCCAGUGAAUCCUAUUCAAAGAUAAACCAUGUAAUUUUAAGAUUAUAGUAAACUUCAAUGUGGGUAGAGCAAUACAGAGGAUUAACAAGUUUAAAUUACAAUAC